rnacentral:ncRNA from 2 species
AUGAAUAUUAAACUAAUAGGUUUCUUAAAUAUGAUUGUGAACUAUAUUUAAGACUAAGAGGGAAAUUGGUGUAAAUCCAAUACGGUCCCGCCACUGUAAGCGAGAAGGAAGGUUAGUAAAUAUCCACUGUGUGUAAGCAUGGGAAGGAAUAACCAACUGUUGAUUCGUAAGUCAGGAGACCUGCCUAUAAAGUUUUUUAAGC